GCAUAAUGAACAGUUUAUUGCAAAAAAUAGCUUCCAUCCCAUAAUGGGAAAAGUUGCCACCUCCAGCCAAAGUAAGUAAGCAUCACACAUUGUGAGGAAAAAAAGGAAAUACAACACCGCGCUUACGAACAACGAUACAGUUGGCAACAGGAACUUGCCAUCUGACAAAAAUACUGAAAAUUGCCAUGUCACGCACGUGUACGAAGACUACACAUCAGGCAACAAAAAUACCUUCUUUGGAGCACGUUUACCAGCAUCAACAUCGUCCCUUUUAUCAGGCAUGAAAUCGUCGGCAUCAUCAUCAUGCGCGUUGCGGGCCAUUUUCUCUGGAAGUAAACAAUAACAAACGAAACAUAUCAGCAAACAAAAGACGGUAUUGAUAAUGAGAGUAGGAAAACAUGACAAUUUUCUGACAAAAAAACGAAGAAGCACGAAGUUGCCAUCCUCUAUGAAGUAAAGUUGCCAUCCCCUAUGAACUAAAGUUGCCAUGUGAAAAGGUUCGGGAUGAAUACCACCACUGUAAGAAAUGGAGCUAUGUUGCAGAUUUCCAAGUAAAUGGCAGUCUACUCCACUAAGAUCAUGAUGGCAUAGAACUACAUGAGUGCACGAUGGAGGUGACCUUCAGUAAAAAAUGAUACAAAUAGCGAGAAUUAAGCCAUCAAGAUGGCAGUAGUUAUGAGAUCUUACACGCGCCACAGUAGAAAUUGACACAAAAACAACAUGAAUCUGAACGAAUAGUUGGGCGCGCACAAACCUACGUGAGCACAAAAUCGCACAAUGAAAAAUAUAUCGCCAUGUACAACCCCAUGGAGAUGUCUCAUAUGGGACGCGCGGUGAACCUAUAACCUCGACGGCGCACCAAAAUGCAGCCGUGGGCAACCUUGUAACACUCCGGGACAAAGCGGAGUGGCUGCGUCGUGAUGACAAGGGGGGAGAGAUGGAGAGAUGCCCAGAUCUGCGAAAACGAAC
rnacentral:lncRNA from 1 species